AUCAACGCUGGCGGCGUGCCUAACACAUGCAAGUCGAACGCGGUUGCUCCCGCAAGGGAGCAACUGAGUGGCGAACGGGUGAGUAACGCGUGGGCGACCUACCUUCGAAUGGGGGAUAACGUCCCGAAAGGGACGCUAAUACCGCAUAACAUCCUGCUUUUGAACAAGUGGAGAUCAAAGCCGGGGAUCGCAAGACCUGGCGUUUGAAGAGGGGCCCGCGUCUGAUUAGCUAGUUGGUGAGGUAACGGCCCACCAAGGCGACGGUCAGUAUCCGGCCUGAGAGGGCGGACGGACACACUGGGACUGAGACACGGCCCAGACUCCUACGGGAGGCAGCAGUGGGGAAUUGUUCGCAAUGGGCGCAAGCCUGACGACGCAACGCCGCGUGGAGGAUGAAGGUCUUCGGAUUGUAAACUCCUGUUGCCCGGGACGAAUGGCUCCAACCUAACACGUUGGAGUGUGACGGUACCGGGUGAGGAAGCCCCGGCUAACUCUGUGCCAGCAGCCGCGGUAAUACAGAGGGGGCGAGCGUUGUUCGGAAUUACUGGGCGUAAAGGGCGCGUAGGCGGCCUGCUAUGUCGAGCGUGAAAUCCCCGGGCUCAACCCGGGAACUGCGUCCGAAACUGGCAGGCUCGAAUCCGGGAGAGGGAUGUGGAAUUCCAGGUGUAGCGGUGAAAUGCGUAGAUAUCAACAAGAACACCAAAGGCGAAGGUAGUCUCCUGGCCAUUUACUGACGCUCAUGCACGAAAGCUGAGGGAGCGAAGCAGAUUAGAGACCUGCGUAGUCUCAGCCGUAAACGAUGGACACUAGAUAGUGGAUUUUUUCACUGUCGCAAAGCUAACGCGUUAAGUGUCCCGCCUGGGGAGUACGGUCGCAAGACUAAAACUCAAAGGAAUUGACGGGGAACCGCACAAGCAGUGGAGCAUGUGGUUUAAUUCGAGACGAAGCGAAGCACCUCACCAGGGUUUGACAUUCUUCUGCAAGCGCACGGAAACGUGUGACCUUCGAGGGUGAAGAAACGGUGCUGCAUGGCUAUCGUCAGCUCGUAUCGUGAGACGUCGGCUUAAGUGCCACAACGAGCGCAACCCCUACUGUAUGUUAUAUUCUCAUACAGAACUGCCUGUUUAUCAAACGGGAGGAAGGCGGGGAUGAUGUUAAGUCAGCACGGCCCUUAUGCCCUGGGCUACACACAUCCUACAAUGGCGAACAACAACGGGUUGCAACAUGGCGACAUGAAGCUAAUCCCUGAAAUUUCGCCUCAGUUCAGAUCGGAGUCUGCAACUCGACUCCGUGAAGUUGGAAUUGCUAGUAAUCGCGGAUCAGCAGGCCGCGGUGAAUACGUUCUCGGUUCUUGUACACACCGCCCGUCAAGUAGGGAAAGUUGGGAGUACCCGAAGACGUUUCUCUAACCGCAAGGAGGAGGACGGCGAAGGUAAUACCAGCGAUCGAUGCU
rnacentral:rRNA from 1 species